rnacentral:rRNA from 1 species
AUAAGCCUGGGAAACUGGGUCUAAUACCGAAUAUGACCACGCUCUUCAUGGGGUGUGGUGGAAAGCUUUUGCGGUGUGGGAUGGGCCCGCGGCCUAUCAGCUUGUUGGUGGGGUAAUGGCCUACCAAGGCGACGACGGGUAGCCGGCCUGAGAGGGUGACCGGCCACACUGGGACUGAGAUACGGCCCAGACUCCUACGGGAGGCAGCAGUGGGGAAUAUUGCACAAUGGGCGCAAGCCUGAUGCAGCGACGCCGCGUGAGGGAUGACGGCCUUCGGGUUGUAAACCUCUUUCACCAGGGACGAAGCGCAAGUGACGGUACCUGGAGAAGAAGCACCGGCCAACUACGUGCCAGCAGCCGCGGUAAUACGUAGGGUGCGAGCGUUGUCCGGAAUUACUGGGCGUAAAGAGCUCGUAGGUGGUUUGUCGCGUUGUUCGUGAAAACUCACAGCUUAACUGUGGGCGUGCGGGCGAUACGGGCAGACUAGAGUACUGCAGGGGAGACUGGAAUUCCUGGUGUAGCGGUGGAAUGCGCAGAUAUCAGGAGGAACAGCCGGUGGCGAA